GCUGAGCACUCCUACGGGAGGCAGCAGUGGGGAAUAUUGCACAAUGGGCGCAAGCCUGAUGCAGCCAUGCCGCGUGUAUGAAGAAGGCCUUCGGGUUGUAAAGUACUUUCAGCAGUGAGGAAGGUGGAUAUGUUAAUAGCAUAUUCAUUUGACGUUAGCUGCAGAAGAAGCACCGGCUAACUCCGUGCCAGCAGCCGCGGUAAUACGGAGGGUGCGAGCGUUAAUCGGAAUUACUGGGCGUAAAGCGCAUGCAGGUGGUUUGUUAAGUCAGAUGUGAAAGCCCGGGGCUCAACCUCGGAAUUGCAUUUGAAACUGGCAAACUAGAGUACUGUAGAGGGGGUAGAAUUUCAGGUGUAGCGGUGAAAUGCGUAGAGAUCUGAAGGAAUACCGGUGGCGAAGGCGGCCCCCUGGACAGAUACUGACACUCAGAUGCGAAAGCGUGGGGAGCAAACAGGAUUAGAUACCCUGGUAG
rnacentral:rRNA from 1 species